GGACAACUGUAGCUCAUUGGUAGAGCAUCUGACUUGCAUGCAGAAGGUCACCGGUUCAAUCCCCGGCAUCUCCA